UAAAGGGAACGGCCAUGGAUGAAAGGUUGAAGAAGGUCAAAGAUAAGCUGUUUGACUGAUAGAUUCAACGAAUCAUAUUCAUUAUUAUUUUCCCACCCAUAUUUUCCCAAGAAAAAGAGAAAGAAAAUUCAACUUGGUGAUUCACGCCACCAGUAGGUGGCGGAAUAAUAAUCACGCCGGUUUUGACAAUUUAAAAUUUUCAUUAUUACGGGGUUUUUAUGAUCUCACCAGCGACAAUUUUCCACCAAAUCCCUUGUUGUUUUUUUUAUAUAUUAUCUUCCAAUGAGAUGCCAGCUGGGUUAGAUGCAGAGAGUCUCAGAGAUCAAAAGCUCUUCCUUUUUUUAUUUUCUUUUCUGUUUUCUGGGUUUCUUAAGCUCAAAAUUGUAAAGGAUAAAAGUGGAUCAUCUCGCCGAAGCGUCUAACCAAAAUUCUCGAAUAUUCCAUUUGGCUCUGGACAUUGGAGGAUUUCUUAAUUCUGUUGAGGAGCAGAAUUUUGUCCCAUAAAAAUGAAGCAGUGGAGCAUUCAAAGAAAAGAACAAGUGAUUCCUAGAUUCCAUUGUUUCAUUACACAGCACACAAUUCCUAUCUGUAGUGAUACCCAUGCGCUGCAGUCGGUCUUGUGUAGGCAGUCUGUCGAGGAUUGCCAUCCAAGCAAGCAAAUUGUGCUUGGGAAUAUGUUGUGGGAACCAUAUCAAGGAAUGCCAGGGAACUUUGACUUCCUUCACCCUAAUCUCCUGCCAAAUGUCCUUAAAGGUUCUUUGGUCAAAUUGGUGUAUUUCUGUAUAAUGAUGAGCUAAGGUCCAAUAUCGAUCUUUCUCGACAUUCAGUUAAAUUUCUUGCUUUCUUCCCGGAAAUGCAAUCUUACAGGUCCAAAGGUGAGGCUAAAGCAAUGUUUCUAAGGCAUGAAGGUUUUCUCGGGGCAUUAUGUAUUUAUGUGCAUUCAUGAGCUAUGAGAAGCAGUGUCUCGAUGGCUUGAUAGCCCAUCAAAUGCAGCAAAAGUUCCCCAUCAGCGUAUUCUCAGCCGGGGAUAAGAUUUACUGCUCACUGAACAGUAAUUCAGACGAGAAUGGUAGUAUCGAGUGCACCGUAUACGGAACAUAGAAAUACAACAUACAAGAUGAAGUGAUGGAAGACCCUAGGUAACCAUGCAAAAAGAAAAUUCCCAUCUUGAAGAAUGUAUAUUGCAUAAUAGAUAUGUUGCAGGACCUGUAAUUUCAACGGAAAACGAUACAAAGAACUCACAAUUAGACAAAGAUUGUGUUGCUUUUCCCUUCAUUGUAGCUUACAUGUACCAUAUAUGUAGUUUUUUUAAUGAAAUUAUUCACUUCAAUCUGUUCUUCUGAAUA